rnacentral:rRNA from 1 species
AACGAACGCUGGCGGCAUGCCUAACACAUGCAAGUCGAACGAUCCCUUCGGGGAUAGUGGCGCACGGGUGCGUAACGCGUGGGAAUCUGCCCUCAGGUACGGAAUAACUCAGGGAAACUUGAGCUAAUACCGUAUAAUGACUUCGGUCCAAAGAUUUAUCGCCUGGGGAUGAGCCCGCGUCGGAUUAGCUAGUUGGUGAGGUAAAAGCUCACCAAGGCGACGAUCCGUAGCUGGUCUGAGAGGAUGAUCAGCCACACUGGGACUGAGACACGGCCCAGAUUCCUACGGGAGGCAGCAGUGGGGAAUAUUGGACAAUGGGCGCAAGCCUGAUCCAGCAAUGCCGCGUGAGUGAUGAAGGCCUUAGGGUUGUAAAGCUCUUUUACCCGGGAAGAUAAUGACUGUACCGGGAGAAUAAGCCCCGGCUAACUCCGUGCCAGCAGCCGCGGUAAUACGGAGGGGGCUAGCGUUGUUCGGAAUUACUGGGCGUAAAGCGCACGUA